AGCGGAGUAGAGCAAUUUGGUAGCUCACGAGGCUCAUAACCUUGAGGUCACGGGUUCGGUUCCCGUCUCCGCAC
rnacentral:tRNA from 1 species